rnacentral:rRNA from 1 species
CAGCAGCCGCGGUAAUACGAAGGGUGCAAGCGUUAAUCGGAAUUACUGGGCGUAAAGCGUGCGUAGGCGGUUUGUUAAGUCUGUUGUGAAAUCCCCGGGUUCAACCUGGGAAUGGCAAUGGAUACUGGCAAGCUAGAGUGUGUCAGAGGAUGGUGGAAUUCCCGGUGUAGCGGUGAAAUGCGUAGAGAUCGGGAGGAACAUCAGUGGCGAAGGCGGCCAUCUGGGACAACACUGACGCUGAGGCACGAAAGCGUGGGGAGCAAACAGGAUUAGAUACCCCCGUAGUCCCUGUCUCUUAUAC